AUGCAAGUCGAGCGCCCCGCAAGGGGAGCGGCAGACGGGUGAGUAACGCGUGGGAACAUACCCUCCGGUUCGGAAUAACUCAGGGAAACUUGAGCUAAUACCGGAUACGGCUUAGCGGCGAAAGAUUUAUCGCCGGAGGAUUGGCCCGCGUCCGAUUAGCUAGUUGGUGUGGUAAUGGCGCACCAAGGCGACGAUCGGUAGCUGGUCUGAGAGGAUGAUCAGCCACAUUGGGACUGAGACACGGCCCAAACUCCUACGGGAGGCAGCAGUGGGGAAUAUUGGACAAUGGGCGCAAGCCUGAUCCAGCCAUGCCGCGUGAGUGAUGACGGCCUUAGGGUUGUAAAGCUCUUUCGCCAGGGACGAUAAUGACGGUACCUGGAUAAGAAGCCCCGGCUAACUUCGUGCCAGCAGCCGCGGUAAUACGAAGGGGGCUAGCGUUGUUCGGAAUUACUGGGCGUAAAGCGCGUGUAGGCGGGUCUUUAAGUCAGGGGUGAAAUGCCAAGGCUCAACCUUGGAACUGCCUUUGAUACUGGAGAUCU
rnacentral:rRNA from 1 species